CCUACGGGAGGCUGCAGUGAGGAAUAUUGGUCAAUGGACGAGAGUCUGAACCAGCCAAGUAGCGUGAAGGAUGACUGCCCUAUGGGUUGUAAACUUCUUUUGUAUGGGAAUAAAACGUUCCACGUGUGGGAUUUUGUAUGUACCAUAUGAAUAAGGAUCGGCUAACUCCGUGCCAGCAGCCGCGGUAAUACGGAGGAUCCGAGCGUUAUCCGGAUUUAUUGGGUUUAAAGGGAGCGUAGGUGGAUUGUUAAGUCAGUUGUGAAAGUUUGCGGCUCAACCGUAAAAUUGCAGUUGAAACUGGCAGUCUUGAGUACAGUAGAGGUGGGCGGAAUUCGUGGUGUAGCGGUGAAAUGCUUAGAUAUCACGAAGAACUCCGAUUGCGAAGGCAGUUCACUGGACUGCAACUGACACUGAGGCUCGAAAGUGUGGGUAUCAAACAGGAUUAGAUACCCGGGUAGUC
rnacentral:rRNA from 1 species